UGGCUCAGUAGUAGAGCACUUGCUUUGCAUGCAUGAAGCCCUGGGUUCGAUUCCUCAG
rnacentral:tRNA from 1 species